AAGGCUGAAGACUUGUGCUCACAUGUUGC
rnacentral:piRNA from 1 species